rnacentral:rRNA from 1 species
GAUGAACGCUAGCGGGAGGCUUAACACAUGCAAGUCGAGGGGCAGCAUAGGGUAGCAAUACUCUGAUGGCGACCGGCAAACGGGUGAGUAACGCGUAUGCAACCUACCCUGUACAGGGGGAUAACCCGGAGAAAUUCGGACUAAUAUCCCGUAAUAAUAUCCGGAGGCAUCUUUGGAUAUUUAAAGUUCCGACGGUACGGGAUGGGCAUGCGUAAUAUUAACUGGUUGGUAAGGUAACGGCUUACCAAGGCUAUGAUGUUUAGGGGUCCUGAGAGGGUGGUCCCCCACACUGGUACUGAGACACGGACCAGACUCCUACGGGAGGCAGCAGUGAGGAAUAUUGGUCAAUGGGCGCAAGCCUGAACCAGCCAUCCCGCGUGCAGGAAGACGGCCCUAUGGGUUGUAAACUGCUUUUCCAGGGAGAGAAACUUACGCACGUGUUGCGUGACUGACGGUACCCUGGGAAUAAGCAUCGGCUAACUCCGUG